rnacentral:rRNA from 1 species
UACGAAGGGAGCUAGCGUUGUUCGGAAUCACUGGGCGUAAAGCGCACGUAGGCGGAUGUGUCAGUCAGGGGUGAAAUCCCGGAGCUCAACUUCGGAACUGCCCUUGAUACAGCACGUCUUGAGUCCGGAAGAGGUGGGUGGAAUUCCUAGUGUAGAGGUGAAAUUCGUAGAUAUUAGGAAGAACACCGGUGGCGAAGGCGGCGUCCUGGACCAACACUGACACUGAGGAGCGAAAGCCAGGGGAGCAAACGGG